rnacentral:tRNA from 1 species
AGAAGUAUAGUUCAAGUGGUAGAGUACUUGCCUUGCAAGCAUAAGGCCCUAAGUUCAAUUCCCAGUACAGCCA